rnacentral:rRNA from 1 species
AUAUUGGUCAAUGGCCGGAAGGCUGAACCAGCCAUGCCGCGUGAAGGUCAGUGCCCUAUGGGCGUUAAACUUCUUUUGUGCGGGAGCAAUAAUUGUCACGUGUGGCCAGACGAGAGUACCGUACGAAUAAGCAUCGGCUCACUCCGUGCCAGCAGCCACGGUAAUACGGGGGAUGCAAGCGUUAUCCGGAUUUAUUGGGUUUAAAGGGUGCGUAGGCUGUGAGUUAAGUCAGCGGUGAAAUGCCCCCGCUCAACGGGGUGAAGUGCCAUUGAUACUGCCUUGCUGGAAUGCGGAUGCCGUGGGAGGAAUGUGUGGUGUAGCGGUGAAAUGCAUAGAUAUCACACAGAACACCGAUUGCGAAGGCAUCUCACGAAUCCGCGAUUGACGCUGAUGCACGAAAGCGUGGGUAUCAAACAG